rfam:Marchantia polymorpha subsp. polymorpha scaffold3191, whole genome shotgun sequence.
CUUGACCGAGCCGAGCAGCAGCGGCUGCUCGCGGUCCUGUCCGUAGGUCGCGAGCAGGGCCUGGGCCUC